GAUGAAGAACGUAGCGAAAUGCGAUAAUUGAUGUGAAUUGCAGAAUUCCGUGAAUCAUCGAGUCUUUGAACGCACAUUGCGCCUCAUGGCAUUCCAUGAGGCAUGCCCAUCUCAGCGUUAGAAAAUAUUCUCAAAUUUUAGUUUUGUGCUAAAAUUUGGAUCAUGUCAAGGAAGCUAUUACUAUUAUUGUGAUCGCUCUUUGGAAAUUGAUAGGUCUUUGAGUUGCUACUCAUAGAACGUGAUGAAUCUUUCUUCGUUCUAUUGUAAUUCACUCUGGUAGUCCUAAAACUUGUAUGCCUGUGGCAUAUCUUGUAAUUUGACCUGAGAUUGGGUAGGGAUACCCGCUGAACUUAAGCAUAUCAAUAAGCGGAGGA
rnacentral:misc_RNA from 1 species